GAGGGGUAGCCCCGGUAUUGGCGGAGACGUCCCACUUGAGUGAGCGCGGUACAGCUGGGUGAGGGGACGCGACUGGACCCGAGGUCUGGCAGGCAGUGCGUGGCGGUGAUAACGAAUACGUGAGCCGGUGGCUCCAGGACUCUCCUCAAAGCCAAGGUCGGCGCCCGGACCUUAAACGCUCAGCCUAACGCUCCGGACUUGCUGCACAAGCGCCCUCUCACAGGCUCUGAAGAACUGCGUUUUCUGGCAGCGUGAGCGCAGCUACCGCUCGCUGCCUGUUGGGAAAUGUAGCUUUUCACUCGAUGGGCCGGUCUUCCAACGCCGCCAGAACUACAUUUCCCAGAAGGCCCCUCGGACAUACGUCUCCCACAUCUCUCACUUCCGCACUGGCCCAAGGCCCUCCCAUGGACUGGUGGUCUGGAGACCUGGCAGAGUCGGCCAAGCCCUUCAUGGAUGGAGCUCAGCCCUUCAAUUCCUGACUUCUGCAUUUGGUCUGACAGCUUAUUGUGUAUGGUGCCAACCUGGAUCCUUGGCGAGGCUGAUCGCAACCCUCAGUGUCGCGCCCGUACCGGACUGG